CUGCCAUACCCGGGAACCGAGCACUCAAACCAGGAAUCAGCUGGCUACACCACCUUCCUCUCCAGCCUUUCACCUUCUAGCAGCGCGUACCCCAGCCUGCUCUCUGCCAGCACCUCCACCUUUACGGAGCAACAGCAGAGACCUGAGAGAGGUUACUGGAAAAGGACGGUAUCCUCUUGUACUGCCUCGUCUAUUUACAUAACAGCUAUCUUGGAGCCGGAAAGCAAAGUCUUUUGUGCCUGCAGUUUCAAGGGAAACUCAUAGCGGAGGGCGGGGAAUAGAGGAGUGGACAUCAAAACAAAUGGGCAAGCACAUUGCAUUUCUGUUCCUUGUGCUGAAUAAUGAUGCACAGUGCGCUGAAAACCUGCCCUGUGCGGCCAAGUCCUACCUGAUCCUCUGGCCCUGCUGGAUGCAGGGGGUGAGAAUUGCUUCCCAGCCUCCUGGUUCGCAUGCUGACAAGGUCUAGGCACGAAGUUGAGACUGGUCCAGCCAUUCCCCAGCCCCGGUCUGGUCCUAUUCCAAGUUGCAGAAGGGCUGGAACUCCAGAAACCUGAGAUAAGAGCCCUACCCUUUCCUUGGUGCUGCGAGCACGAUAUGGAGGAUGGAGAGGAACUCAAGAUGCUGUCAAGAUUUUCCUUUGUACAUAUCUGAUCGGUUCGUGCCAGGUUUGGCUCCACGCCUUUUCAGACGAGAGCCUCUGUGAUGAGGACAAGGUGGUUAGGCACUUGGUGCAGCAAUGGAGACAGAAGGAGAAGCUGGGGUGGGGAUGGCUUCUACUCCACUAUGGCAUGGGAUCUGAGAGAAAUAUCUUGGGAAGAUAUUCUCAGAAGUGUAUCUUUUCUCUGGAGAGGUAGGUAUUCCCUGGAUGUGCUGUAGCAGAUCUUCAGCUGCCGUAAAUCAGUAUAAAUGCAUUCAUUUCAGUGGUGCUGUCGUGCCUGCUGAUGGUCAGGUCCUGUGAUGUUGCUCAUUACACAGGUUUUGGGUAAGGAGCCAAGAGAUGAAGGAAGGCACGGCUACAUAAUUUUAAAUAAAUAAGUAAUAAGAUUGUAUAGCUUCUAUGCUCUUGCUCUUUCCAGUCUUAGAAAAGGUUCAGGUUGCCACUGAGUAAGGAGGUGAAUCCACUCUGUACAAUGGAGGUGACUGGAAUAUCUAGUGGAGAUCAGAUUAUCUACACUUCACAUUUUAAUUGGCAUUGAGUGGGGAAAAGAGUCAGUUUUCUCUAUUGCUGAAUGUGAAGAUGAUUGAGAUGGCUUCAUUUUCUUUCCAGCUGUGAAGCAGGCAGGUAAAUGUAUUGAUGUGAGUAUGUAUGCAGUACAGUUUAUAGCGGGGAAGCCAUAAGAGAAAUCAGAUAGUCUGGAAAAUAUACAAUCUUCUUUCACAACAAAGCUCUCACAGUAAAGAGUAAAGUUAAGGUGAGUCUGUCUUUUUUUUUUUUCAUCAUAGUAUAAAAGCCUUUGUUUAAAGCUCUCUGGGUCUGAUUUUCAGAGCCGCUGAGCACCCUGCUCUGAUUUCUUUUAACUGGAGAUGUCGGUGUUCAGCAUUUCUGGCAGCCGGGGCCCCUCUACCAAUGCCUGCAGAGAGUAGCUGGAGAAAGUGUGAGAAACAUUAUUGUAAUGAGGGGCUAAUUCUGCCUCUUCUUCCUGCCUCUCAGUGCAGAUGAAAGAGUGCCUGCGAGUCAUGUUAUGUGCAUGGAGAAAGGGAAUUCUGAUUUACUGGCUCUGGCUCCCCAGGGGCAGGGAUGCUCUCCUAGCACAACUCACAGUUUUCAUGUGUUGCAGGUUUUCCUUAGACAAAUAGUAGUGAGGAACUCACUUUGAUUUCUCUCUCCUCCCCCCUGAGAUUGCUAGCAUUUGAGAUUUCCAGAUUAUAUUUGGAAUGAAUGGAAGAGAGAGUGUAAAAUCAAAGGUUGGCACUAGAGUCCUGAUGAGUUGUGCUAUGCCUUAGGGGUGUGUUCAUGGAAACACUGGGCCUGAGCCUUCUUGUACUGGUUUUACAACAAAGGGGAUUUCCAGGGAUUUCAGCAGAGUGAUCCCCAUGUUCGUCAGAAGGAUGUGAAUAAGACGACUUUCUCUACUCCCACGUGUGUGUAUAGACAUACCAACCUAUACAUUUUUACUCUCUUACAAAAGUUUUCUUGGACCUAUGACUACGCUUUUUGAGGGCAAUUUCAGAUGAAUUUCUAACAGUUCCCUUUCCCAUGGGAAUGCCAGUGGUUAGAGGCCCUGUAGGAUACCCCUGGCUGAAUUUCCCUAAGAUCAUGCUAUGUCAUGGGAAGAGAUUGGGCUGAAUGGUGGAGUAAAGGGAGUUGUGUUGGCAGAAAGUCAAACUGGGGAUUUUUUGGUAGGAUUUCAGGAGCAAGCAGCUGCCUCUCAGCUGGACCUCUCCUCCCCAUUGCUGGGAUUACAAUAGCAGCAAGGCAAGUGAAAAGGACCUUCAGGGAGGCAGGAGACUGCCUGGCUGAGGGACUUUGCUGCAGGGUUUCUGCUGGAGCCCCGGACGCCAGCGUGCCUCCGUGGGAGCGUGCAGGCAGGGGGCUUGCCUGCCAGGUUGCAAAGGUGGGACACCUCUCUCUGGGCUGCCUUUUCUGCUCCCACCAGUGGACUGCAACGACAUGGGCCGCUGGAAAUCUGCCACCGUGGAGGGUCUCGCAUAGAGGAGUUGUCCUGCUGGAUCUGGCUGAUGCUUCUUGUAGUCCGUUAGCCUUGCCACUACCAGCAUCCUUCAAAGGUAACACCACAGCACUGUACAAGUAGCUGCUCCUGGGGAAAGCUUCCUCCCUCACUCAAAAAAAAAAAAAAGGAGAUUGAUUUAAAUGCUGAAGUGCAAAGGAUUGUAUUCCUUGCAAAGCUCUUAAAAUUAAUAUCUGCUGUUAAAGCCCUGGAUCUCUUAAUGUACAGCAUCCAAUCUUUGUCCCAUUAGGUCUUGUGACCAAGAGCUCACUGAAGGGAUUGUGUACAUUUCUUGUUUGAAAUCUCCUGUGAGAAAAAUUAAGUUAUUGGACUCCUGGCCACCCUGAAAACGAUGGCAGCUGUCCCCUGCCUCUCUGUCUCCCCUCACAGACUUUAGCAUUGCGUGCUGGCUGCCCCGCUGCCGAGAUGGUGAUGAUGGAGAGGAGUGAAAUGAAAGAAGUUUAUAAAAAGAGAGUGUUAUCUUCCCAGGCAUCUAAAUGCUUCCAGAGAUUUGGGGUUUGAACACCUAAGUCCCCUUGAAACCAAAGCAAGCCAGGCAUCAACUCCCCUACAUUCCUUCCAAAUUCCAGCCAAAAUUGUUGUCAAACUUGGAGCACGAAGUUCUAAUGUAAGAGAUUAUAAACCCGAUUUCCGCUCUGCUUUAGCAGGCAGCUUAGCACCAGGGAAAAAAAAACAACCCAUAGUGUUGACUGUAUAAACAUCUUGUUCAAAGGGUAACACUUUCCUGAUUAAUAGCCUUUCAGUAUUAAAAACAAUCAGUCUAGAUUGUGAUUAAUUUUCCCUUCUACUACUAGUAACCAAAUAUAUGUGUGUGUAUAUACAUACAUACAUAUAUAUAUACACACUUGUGUAAACACACAGGGACAUUCUCACUGGGGUAAGCAUUUUUAGUAUGUCUGUUUUAAAGGAAAAUACAACACGCAGGAGGUGAGAGCCGUUUUUUACAACUCGGGCAAACAGGAAGGGUUUUAGCUCUUGUAACCCUUUGUUGCAAGAACCAGCAGCCCCAGGGAUGCGCAGUGAGCAUUGCUGUCCUGGGGAAAGGCACGGAACACUCACCUGGGCAGGGAGGAGACCAAGAAAGAGGCAGAAGAUGCUUUGCUUUUCGUCUGGGGAAUGAAGGCUGCUUAGUUGUUGGGCAUCCUGGCUGCAUUUCUGUUUCAUCUGUAUUUUACUUGUGGGACUGACAGGGUUAAUGACAAUAAAAAGUUUUCAUUUAAAAGUUG